rnacentral:rRNA from 1 species
UACAGAGGUCUCAAGCGUUGUUCGGAUUCAUUGGGCGUAAAGGGUGCGUAGGUGGCGGGGUUAGUCAGGUGUGAAAUCUCAGAGCUCAACUCUGAAACUGCAUUGGAUACUAUUCGGCUUGAGGUCUGGAGGGGGGACUGGAAUUCUCGGUGUAGCAGUGAAAUGCGUAGAUAUCGAGAGGAACACCAGUGGCGAAGGCGAGUCCCUGGACAGGUCCUGACGCUGAGGCACGAAAGCUAGGGGAGCAAACAGG